rnacentral:rRNA from 1 species
CAUUCCUACGGGACGCAGCAGUGGGGAAUAUUGCACAAUGGGGGAAACCCUGAUGCAGCGACGCCGCGUGAGUGAAGAAGUAUUUCGGUAUGUAAAGCUCUAUCAGCAGGGAAGAUAAUGACGGUACCUGAGUAAGAAGCCCCGGCUAACUACGUGCCAGCAGCCGCGGUAAUACGUAGGGGGCAAGCGUUAUCCGGAUUUACUGGGUGUAAAGGGAGCGUAGACGGCAUGGCAAGUCUGGAGUGAAAUGCCGGGGCUCAACCCCGGAACUGCUUUGGAAACUGGGCAGCUAGAGUGCGGGAGAG